rnacentral:rRNA from 1 species
AGAAUCAACGCUGGCGGCGUGCCUAACACAUGCAAGUCGAACGAGAAAGUGGAGCAAUCCACAAGUAAAGUGGCGCACGGGUGAGUAACACGUGACUAACCUACCCUUGAGUGGGGGAUAACCUAGAGAAAUCUGGGCUAAUACCGCAUAAUACCUUCGGGUCAAAGGAGCAAUUCGCUUAAGGAGGGUCGGCGGCCGAUUAGUUAGUUGGCGGGGUAAGUAGGCCCGACCAAGACUAUGAUCGGUA